GACGAACGCUGGCGGCGUGCUUAACACAUGCAAGUCGAGCGGUAAGGCCUUUCGGGGUACACGAGCGGCGAACGGGUGAGUAACACGUGGGUGAUUUGCCCUGCACUUUGGGAUAAGCCUGGGAAACUGGGUUUAAUACCGGAUAUGACCAUUGAUCGCAUGAUUUUUGGUGGAAAGAUUUAUCGGUGCAGGAUGGGCCCGCGGCCUAUCAGCUUGUUGGUGGGGUAAUGGCCUACCAAGGCGACGACGGGUAGCCGGCCUGAGAGGGCGACCGGCCACACUGGGACUGAGACACGGCCCAGACUCCUACGGGAGGCAGCAGUGGGGAAUAUUGCACAAUGGGCGAAAGCCUGAUGCAGCGACGCCGCGUGGAGGAUGACGGCCUUCGGGUUGUAAACUCCUUUCAGCAGGGACGAAGCGCAAGUGACGGUACCUGCAGAAGAAGCACCGGCCAACUACGUG
rnacentral:rRNA from 1 species